UGAGGUCACAUGAGGUCAUGUUUCUU
rnacentral:piRNA from 1 species